AAUAAAUUUUUUAUGGUUUAAAUAUUUUAUUAAUAAUUUAUUUUACAUAUAAAUUUUAGUGUUGUAUUUAAUUUAUUUUAAAAAUAAAUUAAUUUAUUUUAUAGUAAUUAAUAUUAAAUAAUUUAAGAAAUUAAGAUUUAGUAAUAUUAAAAUUAAUAACAAAUUUUGUGCCAGCAGUUGCGGUUACACAAAGAUUAAAUUAAAUUUUAUUAGUAAUUAAUAAAUAAAUUAUUAAUAAAUAAUUAAAAUUUUAAAUUAUUAGGUGAAAUUUUAAUUUAAUAAAAUAUUAUAUAAUUAAUUAUGAUUUAAUAAAUUUUAUAAAAAACUAGGAUUAGAUACCCUAUUAUUAAAAUUUAAAAUUAAAUUACUAAAAUAGUAAAUAAUUAUUUAUUGAAACUUAAAUAAUUUGGCGGUAUUUUAGUUCAUUUAGAGGAAUCUGUUUAAUAAUUGAUAAUCCACGAAUAAAUUUACUUAAUUUACAAUUUUGUAUAUCGUUGUUAAAAAAAUAUUUUUAAAAAAAAAUAAUAUUUAAAAAUUUUUAUAAUAAAUUAAAUCAGAUCAAGAUGCAGAUUAUAAUUAAGAAUAUAAUGGAUUACAAUAAAUUUAUUUAAAUGAAUAUUAAUUUGUAAGAAUUAAUUGAAAGUGGAUUUAAGUGUAAUUUUAUUUAAUUUAAUAAAAUGAUUAUAAAUUAAAAUAUGUACAUAUUGCCCGUCGCUUUCAUAUAUUAAUAAAUUGAAAUAAGUCGUAACAAAGUAGGGGUACUGGAAAGUGUUUCUAGAAAGAA
rnacentral:ncRNA from 1 species